rnacentral:misc_RNA from 1 species
GGAGCUUAUAGAGUACAUCAGGAGAUAUUUGCAGCAAUUCAGUUGCACUUUGACGAGUACACCGUGCAAAAAUGUUUGCGCUCUCGUCUGCAAGUGUUAUUUUGAAAUAGAAAGUGCGCGUAACUUCAUCACAACUACUAUUAAAGGAACUGCAAUCAGUAACACUAGUUGGCAUCAUUUUAACAGCGUGACUAGCGAUAGGUGGCCUGUUCUCCACACCUG